rnacentral:rRNA from 1 species
ACUCCUACGGGAGGCAGCAGCAGGGAAUCUUCCACAAUGGGCGCAAGCCUGAUGGAGCAACACCGCGUGAGUGAAGAAGGGUUUCGGCUCGUAAAGCUCUGUUGUUAAAGAAGAACACGUAUGAGAGUAACUGUUCAUACGUUGACGGUAUUUAACCAGAAAGUCACGGCUAACUACGUGCCAGCAGCCGCGGUAAUACGUAGGUGGCAAGCGUUAUCCGGAUUUAUUGGGCGUAAAGAGAGUGCAGGCGGUUUUCUAAGUCUGAUGUGAAAGCCUUCGGCUUAACCGGAGAAGUGCAUCGGAAACUGGAUAACUUGAGUGCAGAAGAGGGUAGUGGAACUCCAUGUGUAGCGGUGGAAUGCGUAGAUAUAUGGAAGAACACCAGUGGCGAAGGCGGCUACCUGGUCUGCAACUGACGCUGAGACUCGAAAGCAUGGGUAGCGAACAGGAUUAGAUA